rfam:Cavia porcellus supercont2_10 genomic scaffold, whole genome shotgun sequence.
GGGGAUAUAGCUCAGCGGCAUAAGCGCCUGCCUUGCAAGCAGGUAGUCGUAAGUUCAAUCCCUGGUACCG